rnacentral:rRNA from 1 species
AUUGAACGCUGGCGGCAGGCCUAACACAUGCAAGUCGAACGAGUGGCGGACGGGUGAGUAAUGUCUGGGAAACUGCCUGAUGGAGGGGGAUAACUACUGGAAACGGUAGCUAAUACCGCAUACCAUCGGAUGUGCCCAGAUGGGAUUAGCUAGUAGGUGGGGUAAUGGCUCACCUAGGCGACGAUCCCUACCUGGUCUGAGGGGAUGACCAGCCACACGGGAACUUAGCAACGGUCCAGACUCCUAGGGGAGGCAGCAGUGGGGAAGAUUGCACAAGGGGCGCAGUCCUGAUGCGGCCAUGCCGCGGGUAUGAAGAGGGCCUUCGGGUUGUAAAGUACUUUCAGCGGGGAGGCGUUACCCGCAGAAGAAGCACCGGCUAACUCCGUGCCAGCAGCCGCGGUAAUUC